ensembl:lncRNA
UCAUUCAAUUAAAAAAAUGAUCCAUAAAAAUGGAAUGAUACAGUGAGCUUGGAACAUGCUUGAUGGAAACAUUUCAAAUGCUGUUCUACUCACUUUCUUUUUCAGGCUAGAAGUAUAGUUGCUUUGUAUUUGCAAAUGCAGAAAGUCUAUUUUAUGAAUGGGAUUAAAAGAGGGAUUUAGCAUGUAGUUAUUUCAUUGGUUACUAAUUCCCUCUAUAUGUUUAAAAUAUCAGACACAUUUUCCAUAUCUCAUGUGAAGUAGACACCGUUAGUUCUAUUAUAUAGUUUAUAGUUCACACUGUUGCCCCUUGUGUUGGCAUAACAGUGUUUGACACACUUCUUCUCGAUUGGUGUGAUACCAAAGGAGGCAGAGCGCUUAACAGAAAAAUAAGGGAAAGAAACAGUCAACAGAAUCCUUUUUAAAACAACUGUCAUUGAAAAUGAUAGAGUAAUAACCCUGAGCUCACCUUAGCUCAUGGACAUAGCAAAAUUACAACUAUUUACAGAACAACCAUUGAUGUAAAAGACUGGAACCUACCAAGAAAGGUCUUCUAGAACUAAGGAUAUAAAAAAGGGAUCACAGCAAGGCAGGUAGUAGGGGCAGAGUCACAGUAUAAUCAGUUCCCUGGCUUGGGCAACUCAUGAAUGGGAGAAUAAUUACAGUUGCAGAGAUUCUCCCCAACGAAUAAGGGGUCUGAGCCCCACAUCAGUCUGCCCAGCCUGGAGGUUCUGCAACAAGAAGAUGAGUCCCCAGAACAUUUGACUUUGAAGGCCAGUGGGGCUUGCUUUUAGGAGUUCCAGAGGGCUCUGCGAAAUAGAGGCUUCACUCUCCAAGGGCACACACAACAUCUCACAUGCUUCAGGACCCAGCAUAGAGGCAGUAAUUUAAAGGAUUUGGGGUCAAACCUACCUGCUAAUCUUGAAGAAUCUCCCUAGGGACAUAGACACUGACAGUAGCCAUUCUUGAGAGUUCAUUCUACCACUGGUGCUGCAGCACCAUUUUGGAAUCCACCCCACCAACAACAACCAACCUGUAGGCACCAGUACUGGGAAGCCUCAGGCCAAGCAACUAACUGGGCAGUGACACAGCCCAACCCAUCAGAAGAGAGGCUCCUUUAAGACUUUCUGAGCCAAAAGCCACCCCUGGACACAUACCUGCACACCAGAGGGUCUAGGACCUGGCACCACACACCAAUGUGCAGGCAGUAGACCCAGGACCCCCAGGGCCCUGCAGCCAGAGAUCCAGAUCCACCCACCAGUGGGCAGGCACCAGCCCCAGAAUCACUGGCUCCACCCACCAAUAAGCUUGCUCUAGCUUCGAACCAGACCCACCCACCAGCAGUCCAUUGCCAUCUCUGGAAGCCCUCAGCCCUGCAGCCAGACCCCAGAACCUGUCACUGCCUGCCUUUGGGCCAGCACUGUCCCUUGGAUCUGGCUUCACCCAUUGGUGGGCUGGCCCCAGCCUCAGGAUCUUCUAGACCUGACUCCAUCCAUCAGUGAUACAGAGCUAACCCCAGGGCUCCCCAGGGUUCUACAGCCAGCCACCUUGUGACCCAACGCUGCCAACCAGUGGCCGGCAGCCUCCACACAGGAAGGUCCUGGCAAACAACCAGACUGGGGGCCAACCAAGCCAACCAGGCCACCCAUAGCCGUCAGCUUACCGCAAUAGAAGGACCCGCACAACACACAUAGGGGCACUCCUAGAGUAUAUAGCUCUGAUGACGAGAGAGCAGUGUACUGCUGGGAUUCAUAGGAAGUCUCUUGCAAAAGGCCUCUUCUCCAAGGUUGGGAAAUGGAACCAACCUCCCAGAUACAUAGAAAUAUAAACAUUAAGUUAGACAAAAUGAAUUGACAGAGGAAAAUGGUCCAAAUGAAGGAAUAAGAUACAACCCCAGAAGAAGAGCUAAGUGAAGUAGAGAUAGACAACUACCCAACAACGAAUUCAGGGUGAUGAUCCCAAAAAACUUGGGAGAAGAAUGGAUGGAAAGAGUGAGAAAUUAGAAGUUUUUAACAAAGAGUUGGAAAAUAUAAAGAACCACUAAACAAGAUGAAGAAUGCAAUAACUGAAAUGAAAAAUACACUAGGGGGAAUCAGCAGUAGACUAAAUGGUACAAAGGAACAGAUCAGUGGGCUGGAGGACAGAGUAGUGGAAAUCACUGAUGCUUAGCAG